CAUGGUCUAUGACCUAGAUAGAAGGUUUGUGUGUGUGUGUGUGUGUGUGUGUGUGUGUGUGUGUGUGUGCGCAAAACACCAAAGACCACGCAAACAAAAGCAGGAAGUCAGGUAUACCAGACACCAUUUACUGUGAUAUCUACAGCAGACCUACAGUGAUAGACAGAAGUGGAUAGCUGGUUAUUGAAUUGUUUCCACCAUGAGACCAAACUACCGUCUGAACAUCCUUCAAGUGUCCAUGUUAGCGGCGCUCUUCUCCACUGCGGAUGCGGACAUGGCGGAAACAUAUAACUGGAUAUUUAUGUUACGUGUUAUUGGGAUCGUGUUUUCCAUCAUAUUGGUGAUUCUAUGUCUGGCAGCAAAAUGUAGGUGUGGAGCCCAGGAGGAUCCAGGGACGCACCCAGUCUGAGCCGCCAGUCCUCCCAUGAUGCCUCACCGACCAUCAGCCGAUGUCUGUGCCUUAAAACCAGUCUGUUGCGUCAGAAUGAUGAAUAUGAAAACAUGUCAUUGUAUUCAUUCCAAGAAUUCCUAACCUGUAACUUGUACCUGAUUUGUGUUUAUCAACGCUCAUCUUUGGCUUUAUGUAUUUUCAUGUAAUAUGCUUUGGGAAUAAUUGAUUGGCUUUUUUAUGGCCUUAAAAUAAUCACAUCUUUUUUGUCACAUAA